rnacentral:snRNA from 1 species
AGGUUCUUGCUUCGGCAGCUUAUAUGCUAAAAUUGGAACAAUAAAGAGAUUAGCAUGACCCCUGUGCAAAGAUGAUAUAUAAUAUCAUGAAGCAUUCCAUAUUUUU